UACGUAGGGGGCAAGCGUUGUUCGGAAUUACUGGGCGUAAAGGGCGCGUAGGCGGCACGGCAAGUCGGGAGUGAAAGGCCUGGGCUCAACCCAGGAACGGCUUUCGAGACUGCCGAGCUAGAGUGCGGAAGGGGCAACUGGAAUUCCCAGUGUAGCGGUGAAAUGCGUAGAUAUUGGGAAGAACACCGGAGGCGAAGGCGGGUUGCUGGGCCGACACUGACGCUGAGGCGCGAAAGCCAGGGGAGCAAACGGG
rnacentral:rRNA from 1 species